GUGAACGCUGGCGGUAGGCCUAACACAUGCAAGUCGAACGGCAGCACAGUAAGAGCUUGCUCUUACGGGUGGCGAGUGGCGGACGGGUGAGGAAUACAUCGGAAUCUACUUUUUCGUGGGGGAUAACGUAGGGAAACUUACGCUAAUACCGCAUACGACCUACGGGUGAAAGCAGGGGAUCUUCGGACCUUGCGCGAUUGAAUGAGCCGAUGUCGGAUUAGCUAGUUGGCGGGGUAAAGGCCCACCAAGGCGACGAUCCGUAGCUGGUCUGAGAGGAUGAUCAGCCACACUGGAACUGAGACACGGUCCCGACUCCUACGGGAGGCAGCAGUGGGGAAUAUUGGACAAUGGGCGCAAGCCUGAUCCAGCCAUACCGCGUGGGUGAAGAAGGCCUUCGGGUUGUAAAGCCCUUUUGUUGGGAAAGAAAAGCAGCAGGUUAAUACCCCGCUGUUCUGACGGUACCCAAAGAAUAAGCACCGGCUAACUUCGUG
rnacentral:rRNA from 1 species